AUUGAACGCUGGCGGCAGGCCUAACACAUGCAAGUCGAGCGAGUGGCGGACGGGUGAGUAAUGUCUGGGACACUGCCUGAUGGAGGGGGAUCACUACUGGAAACGGUAGCUAAUACCGCAUACCAUCAGAUGUGCCCAGAUGGGAGUAGCUAGUUGGUGGGGUAACGGCUCACCAAGGCGACGAUCCCUAGCUGGUCUGAGAGGAUGACCAGCCACAAGGGAACUGAGAAACGGUGCAGAAUCCUACGGGAGGCAGCAGUGGGGAAGAUUGCACAAUGGGCGCAAGCCUGAUGCAGCCAUGCCGCGUGUAUGAAGAAGGCCUUCGGGUUGUAAAGGACUUUCAGCGGGGAGGCGUUACCCGCAGAAGAAGCACCGGCUAACUCCGUGCCAGCAGCCGCGGUAAUUC
rnacentral:rRNA from 1 species